rnacentral:rRNA from 1 species
UACGUAGGCAGCAAGCGUUGUUCGGAAUUACUGGGCGUAAAGAGUGUGUAGGCGGUGUUCUAAGUUCGGUGUGAAAUCUCCCGGCUCAACUGGGAGGGUGCAUUGAAAACUGGGAUGCUUGAGGGUGGGAGAGGUAAGCGGAAUUCCUGGUGUAGCGGUGAAAUGCGUAGAUAUCAGGAGGAACACCUGUGGUGUAGGCAGCUUACUGGACCACUUCUGACGCUGAGACACGAAAGCGUGGGUAGCAAACAGG